rnacentral:rRNA from 1 species
UACGAGGGGCGCAAGUGUUGUUCGGAAUCACUGGGCGUAAAGGGAGCGUAGGCGGGCUUUUAAGUUAGGUGUUUAAUCCCGGGGCCCAACCCCGGACCGGCACCUAAAACUGGGAGUCUUGAAUAGUGGAGAGGUCAGUGGAAUUGGGGGUGUAGCGGUGGAAUGCGUAGAUAUUGGGAGGAACACCAGUGGCGAAGGCGGCUACCUGGACCGGUUCUGACGCUGAUGCGCGAAAGCGUGGGUAGCAAACAGG